rnacentral:lncRNA from 1 species
AGUAGAAAUUGCCAGAAGAGAAUUUUUUUUUCCCCUGAAGUCUGUAACGUUAGACAAUUUCAGUAGGCAGUUCGCGUUAAGUGGGGGAAAUUUCAGCAGAAGCUAAUACAUCGCUGUAGACAUCCUUAAAGACACGUAUUGUGGAAGGCAAGAUCCAACACGAAGCUGAAGAAUGCUUUGUGCUUGUAUUUCAUUUUCCAGAAGGCCGAUGACAAGUAUACACAUCAUCUGCCUGCUUAGGUAUUUAUUACUGCGGAAAGUGAAGGAAACCGAAAACCAACUAGUCCAAAUGACUUGGUCAAUGCCGUUUAGUCAGGACUCAUACCUCAUCAAUUUGUGCUUCAGUUUAGCUGUGAACUCGGGUGAUGCCGCCCUGCCCAGAAAUCUCCCAGAAUGGCUAGGAACUGAUUGCUGCGCUCACCUGUGACCACCCAGCUCCAGACAAUAGGCUUGUCUCCUGCUAUGCCCUCUGAGAUAGCAGACCCACUACCUGCUGUGUCCAUCAAGCAAGCGCUGUGUCGACAGGGCAAUCUUGUGACUAUUGUGGGGGAGGGACAUUUCAAUCAUAUGUGAAACGUCCUGUAUGGGGGUAUAUAACCACUCUGUAUACGUCACUUCUUUGGUGCUCUUUCUUCCUUUGGGAAGAAAGGCCCUGGGCCAUGGUCCUCAGAUUACAGCUCAGAAUAAACUCACCCAAAUUUUCAUUUAUAGAUUGGUUAUGGAUUAUUUUCGUCGACAGCGUUUAACGUCCUGCGCCUUUGUUUUCUCAUCUUUAAAAUAAAGGAGAUAAAAGUGCUUUUCUGGGGUGCUCAUCUUCUGGGUCUCAGCUCCAUGGUCA